GGUAAAAUGGCUGAGGUAUAAGCGAUAAACUGUAAAUUUAUCUACGAAUUUAAUUCUUUUAUCA
rnacentral:tRNA from 2 species